rnacentral:rRNA from 1 species
AGAGUUUGAUUCUGGCUCAGAACGAACGCUGGCAGCGUGGAUUAGGCAUGCAAGUCGAACGGGAAGCCCUUUUUUCAAUUCUUCGGAAGAGUUAAUAGGGUGGAGAGUGGCGGAAGGGUGAGGAACGCGUGGACAACCUACCCGAAAGUUAGGAAUAACAUUCCGAAAGGAAUGCUAAUACCUGAUGUGAUCGAGAGUCGCAUGGCAUCUCGAUUAAAGAUGGGGAUCCUUCGGGACCUGUCGCUUUUGGAGGGGUCCGCGUCCCAUCAGCUUGUUGGUAAGGUAACGGCUUACCAAGGCUUACGGGUAGCUGGUCUGAGAGGAUGGUCAGCCACACUGGGACUGAGACACUGCCCAGACUCCUACGGGAGGCUGCAGUCGAGAAUCAUUUGCAAUGCGCGGAAGCGUGACAAUGCGACGCUGCUGGAGGAUGACGGCCUUCGGGUUGUAAACUCCUGUCAUGAGGGAAAAACUAUCCCGCGGUUAAUACCUGCGGGACUUGAUGGUACCUCAAGAGGAAGCCACGGCUAACUCUGUGCCAGCAGCCGCGGUAAUACAGAGGUGGCGAGCGUUGUUCGGAUUUACUGGGCGUAAAGGGUGCGUAGGUGGUUUCGUGUGUCGGGUGUGAAAGCCCACGGCUCAACCGUGGAAUUGCAUUCGAAACUGCGGAACUUGAGUGCAGGAUGGGAGAGCGGAAUUCUUGGUGUAGCGGUGAAAUGCGUUGAUAUCAAGAAGAACACCGGUGGCGUAGGCGGCUCUCUGGAAUGCUACUGACACUGAGGCACGAAAGCUGGGGGAGCAAACAGGAUUAGAUACCCUGGUAGUCCCAGCCGUAAACGGUGUGAACUUGGUGUAGGGGGUAUUGACCCCCCCUGUGCCGGAGCUAACGCGUUAAGUUCACCGCCUGGGGAGUACGGCCGCAAGGCUAAAACUCAAAGAAAUUGACGGGGGCCCGCACAAGCGGAGGAGCAUGUGGCUUAAUUCGAUGCAACGCGAAGAACCUUACCUAGGCUUGACAUGUAACUGCAAACCCUGUGAAAGCAGGGCUCUUUCGAAGGUGUUACACAGGUGCUGCAUGGCUGUCGUCAGUUCGUGCCGUGAGGUGUUGGGUUAAGUCCCGCAACGAACGCAACCCCUGUGUCUAGUUGCCACCGUUGGUGAUGAGCCAGCGAGCACUCUAGACAGACUGCCCGUACAAGCGGGAGGAAGGUGGGGACGACGUCAAGUCAGUAUGGCCCUUACGCCUAGGGCUGCACACGUGCUACAAUGGCCGGUACAGAGGGAAGCAAUAUCGCGAGAUGGAGCAAAUCCCCAAAACCGGCCCCAGUUCGGAUUGGAGUCUGCAACUCGACUCCAUGAAGUUGGAUUCGCUAGUAACGGCGUAUCAGCUACGACGCCGUGAAUACGUUCCCGGGCCUUGUACACACCGCCCGUCACAUCAUGAAAGCCGUCUGCUCUCGAAGUCGCUGAGCCAACUUUUCACGAAGAGGCAAGUGCCGAAAGAGUGGGUGGUGAUUGGGAUGAAGUCGAAACAAGGUA